UACGUAGGGUGCAAGCGUUGUCCGGAAUUAUUGGGCGUAAAGAGCUCGUAGGCGGUCUGUCACGUCGGAUGUGAAAAACUCGGGGGCUCAACCCCGAGCCUGCAUACGAUACGGGCAGACUUGAGUUCGGCAGGGGAGACUGGAAUUCCUGGUGUAGCGGUGAAAUGCGCAGAUAUCAGGAGGAACACCGGUGGCGAAGGCGGGUCUCUGGGCCGAUACUGACGCUGAGGAGCGAAAGCGUGGGAAGCGAACAGG
rnacentral:rRNA from 1 species